GACGAACGCUGGCGGCGUGCUUAACACAUGCAAGUCGAACGGAAAGGCCCUGCUUUUGUGGGGUGCUCGAGUGGCGAACGGGUGAGUAACACGUGAGUAACCUGCCCUUGACUUUGGGAUAACUUCAGGAAACUGGGGCUAAUACCGGAUAGGAGCUCCUGCUGCAUGGUGGGGGUUGGAAAGUUUCGGCGGUUGGGGAUGGACUCGCGGCUUAUCAGCUUGUUGGUGGGGUAGUGGCUUACCAAGGCUUUGAAGGGUAGCCGGCCUGAGAGGGUGACCGGCCACAUUGGGACUGAGAGACGGCCCAGACUCCUACGGGAGGCAGCAGGGGGGAAUAUUGCACAAUGGGCGGAAGCCUGAUGCAGCAACGCCGCGUGCGGGAUGACGGCCUUCGGGUUGUAAACCGCUUUCGCCUGUGACGAAGCGUGAGUGACGGUAAUGGGUAAAGAAGCACCGGCUAACUACGUG
rnacentral:rRNA from 1 species